AUUCAAGUCUCAAUCAUAUCUCUUCUUUUGGGACAUAGGACAAGAUUUUCUCUGGUCUUCUGUUUCCCAUUUCUAAAAUAAUGAAAUAACGCCACUUCAGAAGUUCCUAACGAGGACAAAAUGAGAGGUCAUACGCCAAGUGUAUCAAGUACACAGAAAUUACCUCAUUUCUAAAGGGAAGAUUGGAUGAUACUCCACAGCCAAUAUUGACUUACUGAAGAUGUUAUCAAAUCCUCUGCCUUUCCUCAUAAUGAUAUGAGAAGAUAAAGACGUGCUCCGCUACAGAGUCUUCAAAGGAAGCAGAAAAAGUAUAAUACAUAAUUUUAACUUAAGAGGAACACUGCUGGACAUCAUGAGAAUUCCAUACAAUGAGUGUCACAUCCAUCAGAAAACCAAGGGUAUGAAGUCUAAAGAAAUAGAAGAUGGUGGUGAACAGGGAUCACCUCUCUGCCUGAUUUGUUUUCUGCCUAGGAGGUACCUUCAUAAUUGCAUGUGUGAAAUCCAGAGUCAAGAGAGAUAAAGGGUAUCCGCUAAAAGAGAUCUUACUAGGGAUCGGGACAUUCAUUACACGUUAAAAUUUCUAACAGUGUCUUUGCCAUAAAUUGGCAUCCCUUAUGUGGUAAGUUGGGGUUACAAGAAACUUGAACACGUACACUAAAUGUACUGCUGGGCUCAAGUUUUUUCCUACAUUUCUGCCUCUAGUUUGCUCAUUUCCCACCCAUCUUUGACUGAAUUGGCAGAGACCAUCUUAAAUAAAUAUCUGACCCUGUCUCUUUACUACUUCAAUGCAUUAGCUAGAGUCAUGCAGCUCUCAGGAUGAAUGUUUAAUCCUCAGCAAGUUACACAAAAUCUGCCAUGACCCAGCUUUUCUCUAACUGUCCAGACCAACAUCUUAUCAUAACUACUUUUAAUGUGCCAGACACUAUGCUAAGCUCUUUAUGUUGUUCUCUCCUCAACUACUACUUAUCCUUGAAGGUAACUUAGAUGUUACCCGAACUUCUCUCCUGCAACUUCACAUAUUCUGGAUCAGGUUUUCUUCCUCUAAGCUUUGAUAGGACCUUGUACUUUUAUCUAUGAUGGCAUUUCCACAUUGGCCAGAAAUCGUCUGUGUUCCAGUGUGGGAAACCUGCCUUUUUCCAGGAGAGUUAAUGUGACAUAAAGUAGGAAUAUUGACUCUGGAACUAGUCCAAUUAGGUUUAAAUCAUGACUCUACCUUUUGCCAUCUAAGAGGCCUUGUGCAUGUUGCUCAACUUUUCUGUGCCUCAGUGUCCUUACCUGUAAAAUAAGAAUAAUCAAAGUACCUACCGAAGUAGUGCAAGUACUACUUAGUUGUGUUAAUUUAUGUUAAAUAAUUACAAAGACAUCUGGGCACAUAGAAGUUUCUCAGUGUGAGUUGGGCUAACCAAUUUGACUGCCUAUGACAGGGAAGCCUGAUUAACCAGUAUAAAUUAAUUCAUUUACAUCUUAUUUUCUUCAUUGAUAACAAAAAAUGAGGGUAAUGGAUUCUAAAAGAGUUGUGAAUACUUCUGCUUAAGGAAUAAAUGGACUUCACGGUACCUCACCUAGACUUGUCACAGUACUUACUACUUUCUCCCUCAUAGUUUUCUAGUGUUCCUGUUUUGCAGCUUCCUAGAGCAAGUUCAGCUCACAUCUUCAUUUGCAUCUUACCUUUCUUAGUAACUAAUAGAUGCCUGCUGUAUAGCAAAAACUGAAAUAUUUGCUAAAUGAAAACACACAAACAAAUCUGCAAGGAAUCAAAAGCAGCAGCAAGUCUGAUACUAUACAAGGGUUAACUGGAUUUGUUCUCCUUCAAAUUGGGUUCUGUGACCAUGAACCACUGUUAAUAUCUUCAGAAAUAAGAAACCUUGUAAUGGUAAAAUAUGACUUCAUAAACUUCUAUUACAAUUCUAGAUACUAUAAAAAUCAAAAUAUAUUCCCACUCUCUAAAAUCUUAAUUUAACAGAACAGUUAAGCACUCAGCGAGUAUUUAUAGACUUCAUUGCCUUAUGGUUGAGAUUUGGUGGUAAAUAUUCAGAAUUAGACAUUUGCUCUCAAGGAAUUUACAAGUGUUUAAUGUCGUUCUUCUCCCUUAACCACACUUUAAAUAUAUUUUUAUGAUCCAUCAAAAGAGCCCUGUUCUAAUAUCAAAUGAUACAUUCCGCUUGUCUGUAUACAAUAUAUUCUGUGCAAUUCAUCUCACAGAGAAGAGCUUACUUUUUUAUUAAAUUUUGGCAGUUCACUAAAUAUCAGAAACCUUAUAUUUAAUCAGAUAUUUUAAAAGCAUGUACUGACAAGCUUGUACAUAAAAUUAAAAAAAUUAAACCAACUUAAAUGUCUAGUUAUAUCUAAUAAUUUCUUACUUCAUUUAGCAAACCAGAGAACUCAUUGCUUGAAAUAAAAGUUUAUUCCCCUUUUAAUUAUAAUGACCAUUGAUUUAUGUAAGUUAGUGUUUAACCCUGUGACACUCUUCUAGAGAUCACUUGGACUCCGCCAGAACCCUGUUAAGUCCCCAUUUCUAAGUGCAAGCCCUCUCUCUCACUCUCGACUAUGCUUUUCAGAUACUUGCUUUCCUUACUCUUCCACAAAUGACUUUGAAAAAUAAAAGCCAAAAUGGCAAU
rnacentral:lncRNA from 1 species